UCCCCCCGCGGCCCCAGCCGCACGGCAGGGCUGGGAAAGCGCGGGCCGCCCCGCGCACCCACGCUCGGCGCAGCGCCGAGCCGAACCGUGCCAUGCCGAGCCAUGCCGUGCCAUGCCAUGCCGAGCCGUGCCAUGCCGAGCCAUGCCGUACCGAGCCUUACCUCCGCCCGCCGGGCGCCAGCUGCGGAGAGGGGGGGCCGGGUGCCCCCGCGGGCGCGGAUGGCGAGCGGGGCCGUGCGGGCGCGGGGCUCAGCGGCGGGCAGGCGGUGGCAGCCACAUGUGCCCAACCCUCACUGCGGCGGCGUUUAAAGACAGACAUAAAAGCGGCGGGGGGAGAGGAAAGGGGAGGGCAGCGCCGGGCCGGGGGAGCCGCACCUCCUGACGCAGGGAGGGAGCGCCCACCCACCCGCCUGCAGCAGCAUCUCUCUGCCGGAGGCGGGCGGGGAGGCAGACUCGGCAGCGAGAGAACAGGGAGGGAGGGAGGGGGCCUCGUCCCCGCCACCGUGCCAAAAUCCCCGCGGCCACGCUUAAGCACUGCGGGGGCACCAUUUCUAUCUUCAUCUUCACGCCGUGCCGCCUCUUUGCCUAGACUGGUGACGGUGCCCAGGUCUCUGGGGCACGGCUGCGAGCGGCCCGCCCUGGCCUUCCUGCCGCGGGGUAGCGGCGUGCGGGAGGGGGUGACCUCCGGGGCGGCCUGGAGGCGGGAAACAGGCACACAAGUGGGAGCUUCCUUGGGGAACACGAAGGUUUUGAAAAGAAGGAUUUGUGGGAAUGAGGGGUGUGGGACCCAGGAAGGAGGUCGGAGGCAGGGGGGCGGCCGCAGCGAGUACACCUGUGCGCUGGAGGCCGGCAAGCGGCUGGGAGAGAGCUCGGGCGCUCAAGGGAUGGAGAGAGACGGUUUUGCUAUCUUGUAACUUGUGUAGAGAUUUUAACUACCAUGAGUUGGAAGAGACCCACAAGGAUCAUCGAAGUCCAAAGUCCUGGCUCUGCACAGCCCCUCACACACCAUGUGCCUGAGGGCAUUGUUUGAACACUUCUCAAACUCUGUCAGCCUGGUGCUGUGACCACUUUCCCAGGGAGUCUGUUCCAGUGCCCAGCCACCCUCUGGCUGAAAAACUUUUCCUGUAUCCAACCUAAACCUCCCCUGACACAGCUCCAGGCCAUUCCCUCGGGUCCUGUCACUGGGCACCACAGAGAACAGUGCCUGCCCCUCCUCUUGCCCUCAUGAGGGAGUUGCAGCCUGCAGUGAGGUUUCCCCUCAGUCUCCUCCAGGCUGAACAGACCAAGUGACCUCAGCUGCUCCUCAUAAGGCUUCACCUCAAGGCCCUUCACCAUCCUCAUGUCCUUGCUCUGAGAGCUUAAUGUCUUUCCUAUAUUGUGGUGCCCAGAACUGCACAGAGCACUGUGCCUCAGAGCAGAGCAGGACAAUCCCCUCCCUUGCCCAGCUGGCCAUGCUGUGCCUGAUGUCCCCAGGACAGGGUUGGCCCUCCUGGCUGCCAGGGCACUGCUGGCUCAUGGUCAGCUUGCCAUCCACCAGGACCCCCAGGUCCUUUUCUGUGGUGCUGCUUUCCAGUAUCUAAUUUCCCAGUCUGUCCAUACAUCCAAGGUUGUCCCAGCCCAGGUGCAGAAUCUGGCACUUGGGCCUUUUGCGUGCAAGUAUCAUUAAUAUUCUCAGUGCAUAGAAGUGACACUUUUUCACAUGCUGGGUAAAUGGGGAAUUAGUAUUGCAUUUUGCACCUUUAAAUCUGUCACUGUUGUUAAUAUUCUCUCUUUGUCUUAAUGUUAGCUCAUCAUUGAAUUUUACCUUAAGAUAUUGCACUCCAGAAUAUAUAAACUGAGUGAUAUCAGUAAUUACUAACUAUACUAGUUCAUGUAAGAAACAGCCAUUCCUAUUUUUUCCACAUUUUUCAAAAA
rnacentral:lncRNA from 1 species